UCGCACGUUUCGAGGCGGAAAGACGCGUGAAAUUCUGCCGGAUACAUAAUACACAAGAACGCCUGUAUACUGGCGACUGAUUUAAUGAUUCCAAGAACUGCUGGCCUACGCAGUUGUGCAGCCGUUUGAGUGUGUGGCAGCCGUCUGGCAGUGUGUGGUAGCGUCAAGAAUGGGUCGCCACCAGUUUACAAUAGACUCUUUACGUUUCCAAUGAUUGAUUUAAUGGCAAGGUCAUUGCGAGGCAAGUCCCGAAACUUCCGCUAUAUUGGUGUUCUUGUGUAUGAAUUUAACUUUACGUUCCAAAGAAACCUGUUCUUAGGAAUAUGGUAGUGGUUAAAUACUUCGCAAGCUGUGAGGAAGCUUUCGCUUAACACUGUUUGGGAGCAGAACUUUGAAUUUCCUCAGAAAAUGCUGAGAUAACUAUGAACUUCCCCUACAACUUCGUGGAUCAUCGAGUUAAGGAAAAAUUAAUAGGGAUUAUCACCUAGAAAAUAUUUUCGUCGAAUUUGCAGCUCACUGGAUACAUGCCGAAGCACCUUAUUAUCAUCCAAAUUUUAACAAAUACUAUUCCGGCGCAGAACUUGUAUCAAAUCCUAUAUUCCCAAAUCUUGAAAGAUUUUAUCUAACUCUAUGUUUUCGAAAAAUCGUGUACUUUUCUAUACAAAUAUUCUCAUUGAAUUAGAUUAAAAUUAACUUGAUAGAGUUUUUACGACAAUACCUUUUAGAAAAGUAUAAUAUAUUUCGAGGAGUAGAAUUGGAUAGAAAUCUUCCAGGCUUUGGAAAAUAGGAUUGGAUAUGAGUUUGGUUCGAAUAAGAUUUGAUUGAGAUUCAAUAAAAGACUCAUGAUACGAAACGUAUAAGUUUUAACAAAGGAUAAGCUUUGAUGGAACAUUUUGAGAGACAUAGGAUUCGAUACAACUCAGUAGAAGUGGCGAAUCGGAAUGAAAAGUGUAUCUUCGAAAUUCGAAUCGCCGGUAUGGAUUGCUAUGGGGUAUAAGCCGGAUAAGACCAAGUUGUCCAAGUCCAUAUCCAAGUACCUUAUAAUUGAGUGAUCUGCUAAAAAGAGGUCUGGCAGGAGGAGACCUGGUCCUGUCACGUGGAGAAGAUUUGGGCCUGUCAGGAGGCGGAGUUGUGCGACGAGGAGAUGAUGAAGAAAAAGGUGGACGAAGAUGCAAUUCCAAGUCAAGAUUUUUAUGGCAAUCACUAUUAGAGUUACAGAUAGACUGUAAACUUAAUUCUGUAAGAAGAAAUAGAGGAUUAAUUUUUACAAUCCAUAAAUAUAUUCUAUGAGUAUAAAAUUUUUUAAAAUGAGAUAUAGAACAAAAUGAAAUAUCUCAUCUCGAAAUAUCUUUGCUUUUCGUCUCUUGUUUCUAAUGCGUUAGAGAAAGCUAAACUAUUUAAACUGCUACUCGGCGUACCGAUUUUCAUUUUCGACACGCUUUCAAAUUUGCCAUUAUAAUUCAAGAACAAGUAAAUGUUUUAUUAUGUCCUUGGUCUUAUUUUGUAGAGGAUAUUUCAAACUUUAAUUUAGAAAGGUUUCAAUAUUUUCAUUUACUUCCCCAAAGCAUGCAGUAAGUGAAAACAGGUAUGUCUUUCUCACAUGCUAUCUGGGUCCCCAUUUAUCGAAUGUACCUUACUUUGCGCUCAGUUAAAGCCAUAGGCAGGGAGGGUGGAGACGGGUUUGACCCCUCUGAAAUUGUUUUAAACAUGUACAUAAUAAACAUAUAAUCUCCUGUAUGCAUAGUUGCAAUAUACAAUCUCUGCAUGUGCACAGAUACAUAGAUUGGACAAAUUAUAAUUUUCGGAAAGCCUGAAAAUGUUUUUAAAGUAAUGUUAGAUGUAUUAUAUUAUUAUAUUUACCAAUAGUAUUACAAAAAAGAGCGAAGAAUAAAACCAGGCUAUAAACGAUACUCAUAUUUUCCAAUAAGAAGACAAACUGUAGCUAAUAAUGAAGCUAAUAAGUAUUCUGUUUCUUUAUUGCAGUAAAUGCUGACUCAAACUUGUCUUUCUGAGAUUAUACUAACCGAUUCUUAUCUUACGAGAUUGUAUAUAUAUUUCAUGAGUCAGGUUGAAAUACAGCAAUUUAUAUAAUAUAGCACGUUUAAGUAAGAGCUCCUUUUACAUCGGAAAUGUAUAUAGUGGCUACUAUAGCGUUCCAUUGAAGAUUUCGAAAAACAAAUAUAAGCUUCACAAAAUGAUAUAGGCGACUAAGAAUAAUAAAUCAGAAUGUGAUAAUUAAGAACUUAAAAGUCUUAGUGCGCAAUUUCAAUUUUAAUUUCUUUAGUAUAAAUUACAUAAAACUCAAAUAUUUAUUUAUCAAAGGCAGCGUUUUAUCAAAUUCUAGUUACCAAAUCAUACUUCUCGUAUAUUUAAACAUUUUUUCAAAUUUUUUGAUUUUUUAAAAAUAUGUAAACCUUUGCGAAAUCUUAUCGCAGGUGUGCAUAUAUUCGUGACCGAUGGCGUUUAUAUGAAUAAAAAAUAACCCGAUAUAGUUUAUAAUAUGAUCAUUAUAUUUAUUUAUUUUAAAUGAACUAUCAAUCGUUUAGUAAACUAUGAAUUUAG